GAUUUCAAUAGACGACGCCUUCAAUGGAGGAGUCUAUGCAUACGAUGCCGUGUAUGCAACGAUAUGAAGAGUUGAUUAAUUUAUAAAUUUAUAUUUUAGUUUAUUGAUUGCAGAGUCAGAGAACAAUGUGUAAAUUUGAUAUUCUAGCCCUCGAAACCCCAGCUUUCCUUCUGCUUCAACAAGGCAUUAAAGAAAUUAUAAUUUCGGGAGGUCCCAGUGGGGCAUCCCAGUUAACGCAGCGAGAUGCCCCACAAUACGACCCAGCAAUCUUUAUUACUUGCGGUCUUCCACUGCCGGGAAUUUGUUACGCAUGCAAAUACUCAUCAGGGAAUAAGAAAUAAAAAUUAUGCCAUAAAAUAACAAAACGAGUGCCCAUUGCUUAAAGGCUUAGAGACUCGGGGCAAAUGGUGUUGCUGAUCCAUGGUGACAGCGUCGAUAAGGUUGCAGAAGGAUUGCGUUGCGUCGCAAAAUCUUCGCGUCCUAUUAAUUCCGCCAUUGCUGAUACUGAACGCCUUUUUAUCGGAGUCUAGUUCCAUCCUGAAGCGGAUUUGACUGAAAACGGCAUGUUGGAUUCCUUUCCAUUGAGUGCGAAACAUUGAUCUUGAUGGCUGGUGUAAAAAUUACAGGACGAAAAAAGUUGCAUAACUUCUUGUUCGACAACUGUGAAUUGCAAGGUUUCACAUUGGAGAAACGCGAGCAGCAUCAUCGGGUAUCUUAAGAUACUUCUCCGUAUCGUUCAGAAUCUCAUUAUUUGCCGCGUUGGUAUGAGAUUAAUGGAUACAUCUCCCUGUCACAUCACAAAAUCUACGGUUUAUAAUUUUUAUCCUAUGACCGAGUUCUUUUACAGACAGUGGCUUCUCGUUUUCUCUUCAAACCAGCGAUCAAACUUGAUGCUUCCAAUGGUUUUGAGUUGUUAGAGCAAGUUUGACUUUCUACCAUGCUUCCACCAACGUGCAUCGUCGCCAAACUUUGUCGUUGUAUCGGACUUCCAAUCCAGAAGAAAAACGUCGAAUUAUUGGCGAUACGUUUGUCAAAGUGGCAGAUAGAACGAUUUAAAUCUCACUUGGAAUACUCAACUUCUCAGACAAGGUACUUCGAGGCCGGAUUUAAUUGAGUCCACUUAGCAUAUGGCUUCUUCGCGUGGUUUGUCAAUCCGAAUCAUUUGCGCCGAAGAACUGUUCAUGGAAGCUGGUUUCGGUGAGACGCAUUCAAGAGAUGUCGUUUUUGGCCGGGGGGAGGCUAUACCCUUCCCACUUGAAAAUCACGGAAAUCAGGUUUAUUUUUCUAAUUGUCUUAUACUUUUUGGUUUAAACGUUAAAAACCAUAAAUUAAG
rnacentral:lncRNA from 1 species